rnacentral:lncRNA from 13 species
UUUGAUGAACAAUAGCGGUAGUCUUCAACAGAAUUUGUGAGUAAAAAAGAGGUUUCAAAUAAUUAAAUUAUGUUUAAAAGGGGGCAAAGAAGGAUACAAAGGAGAACUCAGAAGAAAUUUAUAAAAAUAUAAGAAAAAUGUUAAAAAAAAUUAAGGGGGAUCCAUUGAAAGACUUGAAGAAUGCAUACGCUUAAAUUUGGGGAUAGAAAGGAAUCAAUGAAUGAUCUCUAGAAAGAUUUAAAGAGAAUAUUCAAAUAAGAAUGUAGAAGAUAAGGACAGUAAAUCCAUGGAGACACACACACACACACACACACACACACACACACACACACACAUACACAUUUAAUAAAGGCUUAAAAAACCCAAGGAGGGAAAUGUCAUAUCUAUAGAUUUAAAAUAAUCUCAAACUGCAUCCAUAAAUUUAAAGAAAGAAAUAUAGGAGUCAUGAAUUGAAGUUAAACACCUUUAAGAAAGUCUACUUUCAAGUAAACAUAGCAUCCCUCUGGGGGGAAAAAGAAAAGAAGUAAAAGAAAAAAUUACUUCCUCAUGAGCCAUCUUUCUUUCUGAAGUUUACACAACCACAACCAUGCUUACGGUUGUUGGAUGUCCCACUUCCAAGCCAAAAGAAGCACUCCAGAAUUUUAUCAAGUUUGGACUCUCAUUUUAAGAAAUAUUUGAAGAACAUGGAGAGACACGCAAAGAAUGUUGUAAGAAAAGAAGAUACUAAACAGUACAGAGAUGAUUAAGACCAUGAGCUUGGGAAACCAAAGGAAGAAUGAUACACAGAGAAAGCAAAUAUAUGAAGGAACAUACUGGAAGCACAACAGAACCUUGGCUAUGAAGACUAUUCAAGGUUUUGUUAUUCAAGGUCUAUGGAUUAUCAUGAAGAUGGACAGGACAUUACAUCACACUGGAAAAGUGAAACAUCCCACUCAGCUGGUGAUCUUCCUGUCAUGAAAGCAGCUUGACAGCUCCAAUUUUCAAUUGAACGCAUUAAACACCUGGUGAAAUUAUCAAUUAAAAACAUCUACUCACCAUAGUUAUGUGUGUCUAAGUUUCUGUUGUAACUGAGCGAGUUAGGAGGAACACACCACUCUCUGAGUUACAAAUCAAGAGUCCUUUAUUAAUUAGCCUGUGACCCAGAGACAAUUAAUGCUCAAAGUUCUCUCUGCCCAACGAAGGGGUCUGAUUAUCUUUUAUACCUUGAUUUAGGUAGGGGAGGGGAGUACCUAGCUGAAGCAGAAUUUUACAGAAGCAGCAAAGCAGGUUAGAGGAAGUGGCUGUGAGAACAAGUGGUUGCCAUACAAUUAUCAAGAAGGGGAGCAAUCAGGCUCCUUCUAUGCAAUGAUCAAAGGGAAACUUUUUUCUUUUUUUACAGUAGGAGGGAAUAGGUAUGCCAAGCAGGGUGCGGUUACAAUG